CAGACCUGGUGGGAUAAUAAUAACAAUGAGGUUUAAACAGUGAGGUGGCCACUCAGCUAUUACAAUUGGUGUAGCCACGUGAAGCUGGUGCAAAUGGGUGGAUGAAAACUUUGUAAUCUAAUCUUAACACUUGAUUACGCUAAAAUAUCUACUUAAGUGUUUCUACUCUAAAUGAAGAAUGCCUUGAAGGUAGGGACUGGGCUUAUUUAUCUUUAUAUCCUGUGUCCUGUAAUAAAGAUGUUAUUGGUAAAUGUUGGUUGAACUGAAGUUGGGGAAUGGAAGAGAAAAGUGCACAGAGGCUGAUGUUCUGAUGUCCGGAAGAAAGGAGGAAAAGCGGGGUAUUUGUGGUUUUAAGUUCAUCCCUUCCGUGGCGGAAGGUGGGGGUAGGGUAGGGGAUGUGGGGUGAGGGUGCCCCUGGGCACAGCAGGAAGCUGCUCUUCCUUGGCUGUGCCACAAAGAUCCUGGGUGUUUCUGGGGGCUUCACCCUCCCCCAUCCUCCCACCCUACUACCCUCCAUCAUGCCUGAAGCCCCACGGAUGACGGAUUCUUUUGUCCUGACAAGCAAAUGCAAGUGGGACCAAGAGAGGAGUUGUGUACAUUUUAAAAGCAUUGACCUUGCGGCUUCAUUUGAGACAUCCUGACCUGGACCUGGGGCACAAGAAGGCUGAGAAAUCCCGUCGAACCAAUGGGGGGCUCCACCGAGCGCAUUCUGCGAAUCCCCCGAGGGCCGCCCCCACCGCGCGCAGCUUCCUAAAGGGUCAGUCCUGGUGGGCGCUGAAGAACCGGCGAAGAGGAGUCGCCCGCGUCCACGUCCGUCCUCCCAGCCCCAAGUGUGCAGGGGCCGCCCGCGCCUCCGCCCCGCU